rnacentral:rRNA from 1 species
UACGUAAGUGGCGAGCGUUAUCCGGAAUUACUGGGCGUAAAGCGUGCGUAGACGGUUAUUUAAGUCAGGUGUGAAAGCCCCGGGCUCAACCUGGGAAUUGCAUUUGAGACUGAAUAGCUAGGGUGCGGAAGAGGGAAGCGGAAUUUCCGGUGUAGCGGUGAAAUGCGUAGAUAUCGGAAGGAACACCAGUGGCGAAAGCGGCUUCCUGGUCCAGCACCGACGUCAGGCACGAAAGCGUGGGGAGCAAACAGG